GACAGAGGGUGCAAACGUUGUUCGGAAUUACUGGGCGUAAAGCGCGUGUAGGCUGCUUCGCAAGUCGGAUGUGAAAGCCCUGGGCUCAACCCAGGAAGUGCAUUCGAUACUGCAGUGCUUGAGGACUGGAGAGGAGACUGGAAUUCAUGGUGUAGCAGUGAAAUGCGUAGAGAUCAUGAGGAAGACCAGUGGCGAAGGCGGGUCUCUGGACAGUUCCUGACACUGAGGCACGAAGGCCAGGGGAGCAAACGGG
rnacentral:rRNA from 1 species